rfam:Triticum aestivum genome assembly, contig: Triticum_aestivum_CS42_TGACv1_scaffold_594144_7BS
AUUGUACUCCCUCCGUCCGUAAAUACUUGCCGAAGAAAUGCAUAAAAAUGGAUGUAUCUAGAACUAAAAUAUGUCUACAUACAUCCAUUCCUCCAACAAGUAUUUUCGGAUGGAGGGAGUACCUG